rnacentral:lncRNA from 1 species
AGGCAGCGACUGCCGCAGGGAGACGAAGACCAGAGUCCCUGGAGGGCUGGAGGGGCCCGAGAGCCAGACCCGGAAAUGGACAGGGGAGAUGGAGAGACUGAGGAUCUCAGAGGCGCAGGAAGACAGUGACGGAAAAGAUGGAGAUGCAGUGGCUGUCCCGCUGGAUGUUCCUGCAGUCUAAACACUAGGAGAGAUGAGGACCACCACACCUCUACUUCGGGGAGGGAAAAGCAACCUUGACUAUAUUCUUCUUCCUCCAGCUCUCUCUGCAGAGCUUCUGACAGAGGCUAGCAGUUGGGGUGAGCUUCCCUUUCUUUUUCUGUUGGUCAUCUCUUUGCAACUUGGGUCUCUGUGGAUCCAGCUGACUGCUGAUUUGUGCCACUCCUGGGACAUGAUGCCUUUUGGAAGCUGACUAAGGCUGCAACACCAAGGCCUUUGCAGUCGUGGCGCAGCUGCAGCUGAGCAGAGCAAGAAUGGCAGAAAGACCCACCUGAAUCCAAGAUACCCAGCAAACCUAAUCACCACCUGAGCUGCCUCGCCGUGUCCUCUCUGCUGGCUCCUUGUUCUCCUCUCAGGAGUUAUUUCCCCUGCAUGCUGUUAUUACCAUUUAAAAUACCACGUAACUACCCCAGAAUUACUAAUGAUCACUCCAACUGUAUUCUGAGACACAUCUACAGAGCCUCCUGCCCAACACUUCCCAUCAUCAAAAGCUCUCCAACUCUGGGUCAGGGUGAAAAAACCCAUAGAAACAACAUUACUUGUGGCAUUUUAAAUGAGUUCAGGAUGCCGCCGACACCAGGGUCAUGUUACUUCUGGUAUUGUGGUUAAAUGAUCAAUAAAUGGCAGCCCAGGAAUUCCUGUUGUGGCUCAGUGGGUUAAGGAUCUAGCGUUGCUGCAAGCUGUGACGUAGGUCACAGUUGCAGCUCACAUCUGGUGUGGCUGUGGCAUAGGCUGCAGCUGCAGCUCCAACUUGACCCCUGGCCUGGGAACUUCCAUAUGCUGCAGGUGCAGCUGUAAAAAGAAAAAGAGAAAAAAGGCAGCCCAACAGUUCUCAGCUUCCUUAUGUCCCAUUUCAGGGUCCAUUCUUUAUGUUUUCCCUUGUGAUUCCUCUUCUAAACUCACUCCUUCCUUUAGAGCCCACUAGUGCUGAAAUUUCCACUGCCAAAAUGAGAAAAGGAAAAUGGGCUUUUCAUGGAAUUGAUUUAAUGAAAUUUAAGAAAACUGUCCUUUGGUUUCAGGAUUAUGUUCUUCCUAUUUUCUGGUUGUAAAAUAUCUUUUCUUCCAUGAAAUGGUGGUAUCCGUGUACUGCCAUUUAUCAGUCAGGGUUUAAUUACAAGUAUAGCAAUCGCUCUAGCUAUUUGAAGCAGAAAAUCAUUUAAUACCGGAAUUCAGGACUUCAAAAAUCAUUGGAGGGGCUGGGGGAACAACAAUAGGCUGGGCUUCUGGGAGUGCCUCCCAGAAUUGGCCUGCCAAGAGCUCUGCCAUCUCUGCCAUGAUCAGGAAUCUGGGGAGUCGGGAAGUCUCUGGCCCCAAGCUGACGGCUCUAGAAUCGCAUCACCCACAGCAGUGGUUCAUGUGAUCCACAUCAGCAAAAGGGAUGCUCUGUGUCUAGCCCUUGAGCCUGGGCCUGGGAUCUCUUCUACCAGCACUCCGGGAGAACCAAACGUCUUUGUCUCUGGGCUAGCCAGGAGAAAUAGUGGCAGCAGCAAAAUCACACAGUUGGCCACGGUCUGCCUUCCCCAUCUCACCCCAGUGCACCUGCCAGGCAGAGGACAGGUCAUGUGCGCACCUUAAGGCCUGCUGCGUGGGGUGGGGCUGCUUGAACCAAUAUGCGAGUCUGUAGCUCAAUGUUCACACUUUACUCACAUGUGAGAUCCAAACUCCCCAGUGAGCAGAGGUGGGAGUGGGGUGGGUGUGGGGUCAACCCUCCAGAGCAGCCCCAUCAAGGACAGAAAUUAAACCACUUAGGUUCAUACCAAUCAACAAUGGGAAGGGGUGUUUCUCCUCAUUAGUCAUCAAGAGGAUAGAAAUUUAAAUCACAAUUAACAUCACCGGAGUUCCCAUCGUGGCGCAUUGGAAAUGAAUCCAACUAGGAACUAUGAGGUUGUGAGUUUGAUCCCUGGUCUUGCUCAGUGGGUUAAGGAUCCAUCGUUGCCCUGAGCUGUGGUGUAGGUCGAAGACACGGCUCGGAUCUGGCAUUGCUGUGGCUCUGGCAUAGGCCAGCAGUUGUAGUUCCAAUGACACCUCUAGCCUGGGAGCAUCCACAUGCCGUGGGGGCGGCCCUAAAAAGACAAAAAAACCAAAAAAAAAAAAAAAAUCACCAUUACACACCCCUAGAAUGACUAAAAAGAAAAAGACAACACCAAGUGAGGACAAGGAUGCAGAUGGAGAAGAGGUCCUGUUUGCUGCUAGCAGGAGUGCUUUAUGUUAGCACAGACACUUGGAUAACUCUGUGGUGGUAGCUACUGAUGCUGGAAGUACAGGUGACCUCGACACCAGUAAUUACAGCCUCAAUCCAUAUCAAAUAAAAACAGGCAUGAG